UAGGGAAUAUUGGGCAAUGGACGCAAGUCUGACCCAGCCAUGCCGCGUGCAGGAUGAAGGCGUUAUGCGUUGUAAACUGCUUUUAUACAGGAAGAAACGACUCUUGCGAGAGGCAUUGACGGUACUGUAUGAAUAAGCACCGGCUAACUCCGUGCCAGCAGCCGCGGUAAUACGGAGGGUGCAAGCGUUGUCCGGAUUUAUUGGGUUUAAAGGGUGCGCAGGUGGUUUAUUAAGUCAGUGGUGAAAGACGGUCGCUCAACGAUUGCAGUGCCAUUGAAACUGGUAGACUUGAGUAAAGUAGAGGUGGGCGGAAUUGAUAGUGUAGCGGUGAAAUGCAUAGAUAUUAUCAAGAACUCCAAUUGCGUAGGCAGCUCACUUGGCUUUUACUGACACUCAUGCA
rnacentral:rRNA from 1 species